CAGAUUUCACGGCCGAGUAAGAUUUUAUAUUCGUGAAACUUUCGUCGAUGCUCAUGUCAACCGCGUGCAACGUCACCUUGUCCGUGUCCUCCGUCACGUUUACCAAGAUUUUCACCUGGAAAUAUUAUUAUUUUUAUAACGAAAAAUUCCUCCGCCGUAAUUACAACAUGGAAUAAAUCCAAGAGGAGCUUUAAUAUAUCUCAAGAACUAUGAAUAAUUUCUUAUUCCAGAUUAAAGGUGUUGAAUUUGAAAUGAAAAUUUCAUUUUAUCAUCUUUCAUCGAAUAAAACAUUAAGAACUUCUCGGCGGAGCACAGUUGGAAAUCGUCUCGCUGUCACGAAAGAGAAACAAACAAGGAAUAUUUCAUACCUCGCCAUUGAACGUAAAGUUGCCAACUUGUAUGAACGGUAUGAGCUUAAGCUCGUAAGAGACCGGGGCUAUGGAUCGCGGCAAUCUGACGUCCAAUUUUUUCUUUCCAAACGUGUCGGUGGGAAAAGCACGGCUGGUCACCGAGUUGGAGACACCGUUGCACGAUUUGUCGAGCUUCUCCUCGAGGCAUGGGGCGAGAUGGUAAACCAAUAGUCCAGUGACAACCAGGGAUAUGAGGAAGGCAGCGCCCAAAAGGAAAGCGCCGCAAGGGGAGACUGUGCACCCUCUUUUACGUCCGAACGUUGUUGUGUGCGCGUCCAUCAUCGCCAAAACCUCCCGGGACUGGGUCAUAUCAUGUGUAAACC